rnacentral:rRNA from 1 species
GACGAACGCUGGCGGCGUGCUUAACACAUGCAAGUCGAGCGGUAAGGCCCUUUCGGGGGUACACGAGCGGCGAACGGGUGAGUAACACGUGGGUGACCUGCCCUCAGCUCUGGGAUAAGCCUGGGAAACUGGGUCUAAUACCGGAUAUGACUCCAUGACGCAUGUUGUGGGGUGGAAAGCCUUGUGCGGCUGAGGAUGGGCUCGCGGCCUAUCAGCUUGUUGGGGGGUGAUGGCCUACCAAGGCGACGACGGGUAGCCGGCCUGAGAGGGCGACCGGCCACACUGGGACUGAGACACGGCCCAGACUCCUACGGGAGGCAGCAGUGGGGAAUCUUGCGCAAUGGGCGAAAGCCUGACGCAGCGACGCCGCGUGAGGGAUGACGG